UACGGGGGGGAGCAAGCGUUGUUCGGAUUUACUGGGCGUAAAGGGCGCGUAGGCGGUCAGCACAAGUCAGUUGUGAAAUCUCCGGGCUUAACUCGGAAAGGUCAACUGAUACUGUGCGACUAGAGUGCAGAAGGGGGCAACUGGAAUUCUCGGUGUAGCGGUGAAAUGCGUAGAUAUCGAGAGGAACACCUGCGGCGAAGGCGGGUUGCUGGGCUGACACUGACGCUGAUGCGCGAAAGCCAGGGGAGCGAACGGGG
rnacentral:rRNA from 1 species